GCAGGAUAGACUCUUACAGUUUUUUUCAAUCGCUAACAAGCGUUUGUCCAAACAGUUGUCACAUUUUCAAAACUCUAAACACAAUUAGCACAGCAUCGGUGUUUUGUGGCCAUGCCAUUCACACAUUUCAUGUCGUUUUCACACAAUAUGCAGUCAGUGAACACAUGUCCACAAUGCUUGCAUUUUCCUUAACAGACAAGCCAUACCUCCCAACAAAACGAUGGAUUGUUUUAGUAGUAUUCACAAAUGUUAACACACACCAUCCCACAAUAGCAAAAACAAUAUUCCAAACCGUAGAUACAGUAUAAAAACCUCUGCUUCUGCAAUGAUAUCAGUUCAAAAACAAUAUAUCUCAGCUGAUAAUGAACAAACUAUUGAAUUAUUGACAGCUGAUUUAUGUUGGGUAAAUUGGGCCAACAACAGCUGAUUCCAGUCUGGCUUAUUUAAGGAGGACUUUGAGGAGUGAUGUUUUUGGAAACAGAAAAAGACAAACACUGUAAUGUCUGGACGAGGAAGAGGAAGAGCAAGGGGCCCAGGGAGAAGACCAGGUCCAGUGAGAGGUGCAGGUGCAGGAAGAGGAGUUCUUUUCUGCAUGGAGGUGGAAGGUUUAUGACCAUCAGCCACGUGACCAGAUGUCCCUCCUUGAAGCCAUGGAUGCUGGCUGCAGGGACAUCACAGUUCAAGAUUGCCAAGGGUGGAUCCGACAUGCCAAGCGGUUUGAUCCCAGGUGCAUCGCCUUAGAUGAUGUCAGAUGUGAUGUUGACAAAAACAUGUGGCCGAACCCUGAAGAUCGCAGGGAUUAGAUGCAUACAUUGUUUGCCAUUUCAGUUCCCCCCUUUUCAUCUGGGCUUUUGGCUGUUUUUGCUCGUGUGUUUCAUGGAUAUUUUGUUAAAAUAAAAUAAACCUUUUCUGUUCUAUUAUACUGUUUCUACUGUACCUUCUUUGGUAAACAGUUAAGAAAAAAUAACUGAUUUGCUUUUUACUGGAAUGCGUUUGAAUGUGAA
ensembl:lncRNA